UUCCAGACUCCUACGGGAGGCAGCAGUGGGGGAUAUUGCACAAUGGGCGCAAGCCUGAUGCAGCGACGCCGCGUGAGCGAAGAAGUAUUUCGGUAUGUAAAGCUCUAUCAGCAGGGAAGAAAAUGACGGUACCUGACUAAGAAGCUCCGGCUAAAUACGUGCCAGCAGCCGCGGUAAUACGUAUGGAGCAAGCGUUAUCCGGAUUUACUGGGUGUAAAGGGAGCGUAGGCGGCCCUGUAAGUCUGAUGUGAAAAUUUGGGGCUCAACCCCAAACGUGCAUUGGAAACUGCAGGGCUUGAGUGCCGGAGAGGCAGGCGGAAUUCCUAGUGUAGCGGUGAAAUGCGUAGAUAUUAGGAGGAACACCAGUGGCGAAGGCGGCCUGCUGGACGGUAACUGACGCUGAGGCUCGAAAGCGUGGGGAGCAAACAGGAUUAGAUACCCCAGUAAA
rnacentral:rRNA from 1 species